UUUCCCUGCACAUCUGCAAUUCAUUCACUCAUCAGCGGGCUGGGGUAUUUAAGAUCGGCUGAGGAACUGAUUCUCUGCCAGUUUGUCCCAAGCAUUAUGAUGGUAAACUGGCAAAACUUGUUGUUUCCUAUGCCUUAUUGCCCCCUAAAGGUUUCAGUCCACUUACCUGUAAAACCCAUCUGCCUCACCUUGUGGAAUUCUCAGCUCACAGCCAGAUUGGAUACCCUCCGUAACCACAGUCUUCUGCUAUUUGCCGAAACCCAAGUCUCGCAAGACUGAACAAGAAGCCGAUGACACAAAUAAGUAAAGGGGGUUACAAGAGGAGUCCCUCAUUGAGCCUGUUGCUUGGAAGCUGGACAGACUGAGAAUGAUGGGAGCGUGCUCACCAGACCUUAGAGCAUCUUAAAAUGGACAUAUGUGUGGGAUCUUUGUUUGAGCAUGGGACCAGCUGGGUGCGGUAGCGUAGGUGUUCAAAGACAAGCAGGGGGUAUCAGUGAAGUCAUCUCUGACAGUAAAAAUCAAGUUUCAGUUGAAAGAAAUAACAGGUCAGAUGCAGGGGCAAGCGAGUUGGAUCGGCAUGUUUUACCUCAUUUACUCCACACUCUGUUCCGAUGAUCUCAUUUCCUCCAGGGCAUCCCGCUGGACGUACCAUCUUGGAUGCUGACCAACCACUUGGGCCUGAAUGAUAGAGUGUGAUCUGAAUGGGUAGAUCCAUGAGUGUUUUGCACAUCAUUGUCCCACAGAAAGGACCAUUACCAGGACCUUUUUCUUUAUGUCCAAGCCAGACUUGACCACAGCAGACUUUCUUCUGUUCCUGUGCAUCUGUUUUAAGACAGGUGAAGGUGCCACUGCACAUAAGUUUCAGUUCAUUCCUACAGUUUGUUUUUUGUUGAUAGACUGACAGAUUUACUAGAAAUCUACUGAGUCCAGUACCCAUCCAUGCAUCCAUCAAUUUUUUUCCACUUAUCCAAUUGUAGGGUUGCAUAGGGGCUCAAGUAUAUCCCAUAUCUGUCAAAGCACUUGAACGAACUUCAUCACAAUAUUUUUUGACUUAAUAGCAAAGAAAACUUCUAACCUUUCAUUGUUAGCGUCCUUUAUAUUACAUUAGCUCUACUGCUGGCAUCCCAUGCACUGCUGCUGAUGCUUGGCAUAGUAAACAC